GCUUGCUCUUCGAUUCAGCGGCGGACGGGUGAGUAAUGCCUAGGAAUCUGCCUGAUAGUGGGGGACAACGUUUCGAAAGGAACGCUAAUACCGCAUACGUCCUACGGGAGAAAGCAGGGGACCUUCGGGCCUUGCGCUAUCAGAUGAGCCUAGGUCGGAUUAGCUAGUUGGUGGGGUAAUGGCUCACCAAGGCGACGAUCCGUAACUGGUCUGAGAGGAUGAUCAGUCACACUGGAACUGAGACACGGUCCAGACUCCUACGGGAGGCAGCAGUGGGGAAUAUUGGACAAUGGGCGAAAGCCUGAUCCAGCCAUGCCGCGUGUGUGAAGAAGGUCUUCGGAUUGUAAAGCACUUUAAGUUGGGAGGAAGGGCAGUAAGCGAAUACCUUGCUGUUUUGACGUUACCGACAGAAUAAGCACCGGCUAACUCUGUGCCAGCAGCCGCGGUAAUACAGAGGGUGCAAGCGUUAAUCGGAAUUACUGGGCGUAAAGCGCGCGUAGGUGGUUUGUUAAGUUGAAUGUGAAAGCCCCGGGCUCAACCUGGGAACUGCAUCCAAAACUGGCAAGCUAGAGUACGGUAGAGGGUGGUGGAAUUUCCUGUGUAGCGGUGAAAUGCGUAGAUAUAGGAAGGAACACCAGUGGCGAAGGCGACCACCUGGACUGAUACUGACACUGAGGUGCGAAAGCGUGGGGAGCAAACAGGAUUAGAUACCCUGGUAGUCCACGCCGUAAACGAUGUCAACUAGCCGUUGGAAUCCUUGAGAUUUUAGUGGCGCAGCUAACGCAUUAAGUUGACCGCCUGGGGGAGUACGGCCGCAAGGUUAAAACUCAAAUGAAUUGACGGGGGCCCGCACAAGCGGUGGAACAUGUGGUUUAAUUCGAAGCAACGCGAAGAACCUUACCAGGCCUUGACAUGCAGAGAACUUUCAGAAGAUGGAUUGGUGCCUUCGGGAACUCUGACACAGGUGCUGCAUGGCUGUCGUCAGCUCGUGU
rnacentral:rRNA from 1 species